rnacentral:rRNA from 1 species
GAUGAACGCUGGCGGCGUGCUUAACACAUGCAAGUCGAACGGAAAGGCCCAAGCUUGCUUGGGUACUCGAGUGGCGAACGGGUGAGUAACACGUGGGUGAUCUGCCCUGCACUUCGGGAUAAGCCUGGGAAACUGGGUCUAAUACCGGAUAGGACGAUGGUUUGGAUGCCAUUGUGGAAAGUUUUUUCGGUGUGGGAUGAGCUCGCGGCCUAUCAGCUUGUUGGUGGGGUAAUGGCCUACCAAGGCGUCGACGGGUAGCCGGCCUGAGAGGGUGUACGGCCACAUUGGGACUGAGAUACGGCGCAGACUCCUACGGGAGGCAGCAGUGGGGAAUAUUGCACAAUGGGCGCGAGCCUGAUGCGGCGACGCCGCGUGGGGGAUGACGGCCUUCGGGUUUUAAACUCCUUUCGCUAGGGACGAAGCGGUUUUGUGACGGUACCUGGAGAAGAAGCACCGGCUAACUACGUG